AUACACCAUGCUUUCUAAUGCUUUCUACAAUGGUCGAAGGUGGGAGCACGUCUCAAGCAGAAUGAAAUGUAUAACUGCCAACUGGUAAUAUAAAAUAAUAUAUUGGUGAGUUAAAAAUGCUUUAUCUGGUUAUAAAGCAAAUGAGCUACAGGGCUGAGGAUCAGUUGAUUUUUCUUUUUUUUCUUUUAAAUGUUAUUUGAAGAAUCCAUGACAUCUUAGUGUAAAAAGGACUUCUUUGAAUGGUUUGGAUGCUCUGAGCAGAGGAUGGAUUACUGAAGAGAAUAUAAACAGAAGAAAAGGAGAGACUGAAAAUUACAGCCAAAGAUAUACAAGUAUUGGGAAACUCUGGACAAUUAUAUACAAGUAUUGGGAAACUCUGAACAAUUAUUUGUUCAUUCAUUCCUGUGGUUCUGGUAGAGAGAAAGAGGGAAGAUGCCAUUGAGAUAUCGCAUACUUGAGGCAGUUUGUGUGCGUGGUUGGAGCAAAAUUCAAGUUUUUUUUUUCCCCUUUUUUUGGGAUCAAUUUUGUCAUUGUUGUUUGGUUGGAGCAAAAUACAAGAGUUUCAUGUAUCAUUAUUUAUUUUUGAAGCUAAUUCAGUUUAGGGAAGUUGCUUCUCUAUGGUGCUUAUAUCUGGAGCUUUCCAAAGAGUUUUCCUUCUGUUUUGUUUCUUUUCUAUAUCUUAUAGUAGGAAGUUUCCUCCAGCUUAUAAUUGCAUCUCUUAUUGUUAAUAUUCUCGUUUUAACUUUUACCUAAGCAGGCUUGGAUUGCAUGUUCAUAGUUCUUGAUUUUUUAUUUCAAUUAAAUACAAUACCCGUUUGCUUCCGGUGGGUGUUGUUCCUAUACCAAUGUUGUCCCAAGCCUUAUCCAAAAAUUUCAGUAGCCUUUCCUUGUUC
rnacentral:lncRNA from 1 species